CCGCCAGGAGCAUCGCUGGGUAGCUAUGUGUGGCAGGGAUAAACGCUGAAAGCAUCUAAGCGUGAAGCCCCCCUCAAGAUGAGAUUUCCCAUUUCUUCGGAAAGUAAGAUCCCUGAAAGAUGAUCAGGUAGAUAGGUUUGGAGUGGAAGUGUAGCGAUACAUGGAGCGGACAAAUACUAAUCGAUCGAGGACUUAACCAAAA
rnacentral:rRNA from 1 species